rnacentral:rRNA from 1 species
UACGUAGGGGGCAAGCGUUGUCCGGAAUUAUUGGGCGUAAAGCGCGUGUAGGCGGCUCGGUAAGUCUGCUGUGAAAGUCCAAGGCUCAACCUUGGAAAGCCGGUGGAUACUGUCGAGCUCGAGUCCGGAAGAGGCGAGUGGAAUUCCUGGUGUAGCGGUGAAAUGCGUAGAUAUCAAGAGGAACACCUGCGGCGAAGGCGGGUUGCUGGGCCGACACUGACGCUGAGGCGCGAAAGCUAGGGGAGCGAACGGG